CCGAGCCUCCCGCUGCCCGGUUUUCCGGCCGUCCUCCCGCCGCCGUCCGGCCACCAACCGCCGCCGCACCGGUCCCGUUCGGUCGACCUCCAACCCAGCAACCUCCCUGGACCGGUGAGAGGAGCCCUAGCUCCGCCGUGAGAGAGCGGUGCCACCCGAAAGGUCCGACUGUCCAAAGCUUCACUUCGCCGGAACUUCCUCCUCCGGCCACCAAUCCGGGCAAGCUUGGUACGGUUUUGUAGCCCUCCUCCCGUGCAACAACCCCUCCAAGCAGCUCCCUCCCUCUUGAGCUAGGUAAGGAGAAACGUGGAGUUGAAAUUUCUAGGCUUUUAAGUUGUUUUCGUUCGAUUAGCCUAGUUAGGCUUGGAAUUGGGUGAUGUGUUGGUCAUGAAAGUUGUAGAGCAUGAUGAGGAGAUUAUUCUGUCAAAAUUCAUAGGUUUUGGAGGUCGCCGGAUUUGGCCUCCGGCCGCCGCCGGUUAGGAGAUUUUUAGAGUUUUAAAUGUGGAAUAUUAAGAGGAGUAUAUUGGUGUGAUUUAUGGAAUUUUUGGAUGAGAUUUGGAUAGGUUUGUGAAUUUCCGAAGUUUGGUAUUUUUGGCGGUUAAUUAAUGUAGAAUCCGACCGUAGGAUUUAAGUCGUAUUUUGGGGAGGUUGUAUUUACGACUGUUGAGUAUGAUAUUUAAGUUCGGAUCGUUCCGAUGUAAGAAUAUCGAAGUUAGGCAAUGAUGAGCGUAAUUAUGGCUCUCGGGUAAUUUUGCCUAUUUUGAUUAAAUAUUGGAUUAUUGGUUGGGAAAUUUAAUAUUAUAUUUGGAACAGGACGUGAGGAGGCUCGAGCAGACGAGACCCCAGAUCGACAUCAGGCUUAGGCCUAAUUUGUGAGUGGACGUUUAUUUUAAAUAAAUGCAUGCUAAAGUUCACGAUUGAAUAAUUAAUGUCGUGGAAUAGUUUGACGUCAUCUUAAUUUUUUGACGAUUUUUACUUCUCUUGGAGAGAUACCGAAAAUGGGAUUUUCGGUGGAUAUAAAUAUGUAUUUAUGAGAGAGUAUGUAUAGAAAAUGCUAGCUAGCCAUAUGUGUCUGUCCACCUUAAUGGCGUAGCAUAUAGCCGCAUUAUGGUGUGACGUGAGCGUUGGACGUAAGCGUAGUAGCCCU
rnacentral:lncRNA from 1 species